rfam:Ferroplasma sp. Type II genomic scaffold AMDT4_FER2S00029, whole genome shotgun sequence.
GCCAUCGUAGCUCAGCAGGAAGAGUGGCUGAUUCGUAAUCAGCAGGUCGCGAGUUCAAAUCUCGCCGAUGGCU